rnacentral:rRNA from 1 species
UACGAAGGGGGCUAGCGUUGUUCGGAAUUACUGGGCGUAAAGCGCACGUAGGCGGAUAUUUAAGUCAGGGGUGAAAUCCCGGGGCUCAACCCCGGAACUGCCUUCAAUACUGGCUAUCUUGAGUACGGGAGAGGUGUGUGGAACUCCGAGUGUAGAGGUGAAAUUCGUAGAUAUUCGGAAGAACACCAGUGGCGAAGGCGACACACUGGCCCGAUACUGACGCUGAGGCACGAAAGCGUGGGGAGCAAACAGG